UAAUACGGAGGAUGCGAGCGUUAUCCGGAUUUAUUGGGUUUAAAGGGUGCGUAGGCGGAUUAAUAAGUCAGUGGUGAAAACCUGCAGCUUAACUGUGGAACUGCCGUUGAUACUGUUAGUCUUGAGUAUGGUCAAGGUAGGCGGAAUGUGUAAUGUAGCGGUGAAAUGCUUAGAUAUUACACAGAACACCGAUUGCGAAGGCAGCUUACUGGGCCGUUACUGACGCUGAUGCACGAAAGCGUGGGGAUCGAACAGG
rnacentral:rRNA from 1 species